GAUGAAGAACGUAGCGAAAUGCGAUAAGUUAUGUGAAUUGCAGAAUUCAGUGAAUCAUCGAAUCUUUGAACGCACAUUGCGCCCCUUGGUAUUCCGAGGGGCAUGCCUGUUCGAGCGUCAUUAUAACCCUCAAGCUCAGCUUGGUGUUGGGGCCUGCUGCACUGGCAGCCCUUAAAAUCAGUGGCGGCGCCAUCUGGCUCUAAGCGUAGUAAUUCUUCUCGCUAUGGAGUCCUGGUGGAUGCUUGCCAUCAACCCCCAAUUUUUCUAUGGUUGACCUCGGAUCAGGUAGGGAUACCCGCUGAACUUAAGCAUAUCAAUAAGCGGAGGA
rnacentral:misc_RNA from 1 species